AAAAAGGGCUUCUGUUGUGAGUGGCACAUGUCGGGCAGCUGGAUUGCUCUAUGUGUGGAAUCGACAUCAAGGUAUUUUGGAAGCAUAAUUUUUUGGUACUGGGCAGCGAGUGGUUGUUGGUCCUGGUACCCUU